rnacentral:rRNA from 1 species
UACGAAGGGUGCUAGCGUUAUUCGGAUUUACUGGGCGUAAAGCGCACGUAGGCGGAUCGAUAAGUCAGGGGUGAAAUCCCAGGGCUCAACCCUGGAACUGCCUUUGAUACUGUCGAUCUGGAGUAUGGAAGAGGUGAGUGGAAUUCCGAGUGUAGAGGUGAAAUUCGUAGAUAUGCGGAGGAACACCAGUGGCGAAGGCGGCUCACGGGUCCAUAACUGACGCUGAGGUGCGAAAGCGUGGGGAGCAAACAGG